rnacentral:rRNA from 1 species
CCUACGGGGGGCAGCAGUGAGGAAUAUUGGUCAAUGGGCGCAAGCCUGAACCAGCCAUGUCGCGUGCAGGAAGACUGCCCUAUGGGUUGUAAACUGCUUUUAUAGUAGAAGAAACACAUCUACGUGUAGAUGUCUGCCAGUAUACUAUGAAUAAGCAUCGGCUAACUCCGUGCCAGCAGCCGCGGUAAUACGGAGGAUGCAAGCGUUAUCCGGAUUUAUUGGGUUUAAAGGGUGCGUAGGCGGGACUGUAAGUCAGGGGUGAAAUACUGCAGCUUAACUGUAGCAUUGCCUUUGAAACUGCCGUUCUUGAGUACAGUUGAGGUAGGCGGAAUGUGGUGUGUAGCGGUGAAAUGCAUAGAUAUACCACAGAACGCCGAUUGCGAAGGCAGCUUACUAAGCUGUUACUGACGCUGAGGCACGAAAGCGUGGGGAUCAAACAGGAUUAGAUACCCUGGUAGUCCACGCUGUAAACGAUGAUUACUGGUUGUUAGCGAUAUAUAGCUAGUGACUGAGCGAAAGCAUUAAGUAAUCCACCUGGGGAGUACGUCGGCAACGAUGAAACUCAAAGGAAUUGACGGGGGCCCGCACAAGCGGAGGAACAUGUGGUUUAAUUCGAUGAUACGCGAGGAACCUUACCUGGGUUUAAAUGGGGAGUGCCAGGUGUCGAAAGAUGCUUUUCCUUCGGGACACUCUUCAAGGUGCUGCAUGGUUGUCGUCAGCUCGUGCCGUGAGGUGUCGGGUUAAGUCCCAUAACGAGCGCAACCCUUGCCGAUAGUUGCCAUCACGUAAAGGUGGGCACUCUAUC